rnacentral:lncRNA from 1 species
CUUAACCGUUGAGCCAUCUCUCCUGCGCUGUGAAAGAGCUUCGAAAGAAAUCUCAUUCCUCAUAGGAUAAACCAUGUCUUCAUUCAUUCAUGUUGCCUAAGAAAAUGGAUCUUAUAAAAAUGUUUUAGAUUUAUUCAUUUACUCAUUUUGCCUGAUGUAUGCGCACCACAUGUGUGUGUGGCACCUACCAAUAUCCGAGGAAGACAUAUCAUGGAUGCUGAAGUUAUGGAUGGCCAUGAGCUACCAUGUCAGUGCUAAGGACCAAAUCUGUGACCUGCGAGGGCAGCCAACGUUCGUAACCUCUGUCAGAACUGUAUGUGCAGAGAACGUCUAUGUGAACAUGAGGAAGAAAGACGAUGGAAAGGUCACCUGCCCAGAAAGGAAAAGUUGACUAUGAAACCUUAAAAAAGAAAGCAGAAGUUUUAUGUGUGUUUCCAAGAAGAAAAGAAAAGAAGAGAAGAGAAGAGAAGAGAAGAGAAGAGAAGAGAAGAGAAGAGAAGAGAAGAGAAGAGGAGAGGAUUGUACAUUCUGGAUGCCUGCGAAUCAGAAAAGGCUAUUAAUGUUGCUGUUAAUAUUCAUAGGAUU